rnacentral:tmRNA from 1 species
UAAUAAGCAUUGCGGACGUGGGGGCAGUACCCACCACCUCCACCAUUUACAACUUGAGGGGGUGAACUAGGAUCGACGGAUGUCUAAAGGCUAUUCUUUCGUUCGGGAUUGUUCCACCGUGACGGGCUAAAUUAUAAUUGCAAAUGAUAAAUUUGCUCUUGCUGCUUAAUUAAUUUAUUAAUUAAGUAACGGGGUUUGGGGCACCUGGCAACAGAACGCCCCUUUU